rnacentral:misc_RNA from 1 species
GAGGUUCCAUUGCUUGUCCAAGCUGAAAAUCACGAGGGGGAAAAAUGAGUUUCAUUGCAAGCAGUGCUGUGACACUAAGUAAUGUAGUUCAAUGCAGUUUAUACUGUUUCUCAUUUUAACUGAAGACUCCUCAAGAAGCGAGAAAAAAAGAGGGUGAAAACAUCUAAGUUAUUUCUUUUAAUGGAUAUAAUUUGGAAAAAAAUAAAUUGCAACCAAUUUGCAGAGUUUAGGUAUAGUUUCUGUCAAUGUUUAUAUUAGCUGACUUAUUGUGGAACCUCGUACCUCCACAAGUUUUAUCUGCAAUACCUGUCAAGACUCUAGCUUACAGUAAGAAAGAGCAACAGAUUGAAUUGUCUUAAAUUUAAACAAAACCUUUAUCUGCAAAUCUGUCUAGGCCCUUGCUCAUUAAUAAUGAUUAAGGAACAAACAUGAGCAGAAUGUAGGAAAUAGACAAAUUUAAGGUGAAGGCCACUGUAAGAUCAAACACUUUUCCCUGCCCUUAAAGAAAUAAGAUCAAGCCCUGAAAAAUGAGCAAUAAGCACUGUGCUGAAACAUGAUCAUGAUUAAUUAGUGCUAUGGAAAAAGAAAAAUGUAUUAUAAUUAGUACAGCUUGUAAAAUAUUAAACAGCACUUGGACUUAUCGAAGUCUUCCAAAGCUGAGUGUUUAUGACAAUGCAAGUUCCUGCACAUAGGCUUAUAUAGACAGAGAAAGGCUCAUAUUUCCACUCACCACUAGAGAAAUUCAGGGGGCUAAUAUGGAGGGAAUGACAAUAAGGAAGAUCUGAGAAUCAGAGAUUUUGGGUCUGGUAGCUAGAGUUUUUUUCCUUUUUUCACUAAUUUCUCAGAUUUUCUACAUCCUUACCAUUAAAUUUUAUAAAACUGGAA